ACAAAACCUGCACUAUUUUGGGACGAGCCAUGUCGAAGAAUUUCAUUUUGUUCUUCCAACCUCUUCACCAUGUCUUGAAGUUUCCGAACUUCUUGUUCGGCUGAACUUGAAGUUUUUAAAUCCAUGGGCGGAACCUCAAACAUAUUUUCCAUACUGAUCGUUCUGCUCACUUCAUAUUCAUUUUGGCAAAAUACAGAGUGGUGGUAAAGGUGUACAUUAAGGAGCUUAAUAUGUCAUGGGAGACUGCGUGGGAUUCAAGAACUUAGUAAAAUGGGAUAUUGUGGAAUAUUUUAGGCCGGCAGGAAUUCAACGUAUAUACUCAACCUAGAAAUAAGCGAUCCGGAUUGUGAUUUUUGAGAUUAAGAUAUUUCAGAGUUUAGACCAUCGAUAUUGCUUAUUACGAGUUACGAACAUGUUACGAAGUGAUGAACUUUUUAAAGUCAUGUGUACAACAUUAUACUGUUAUCGUUUUAGCAAAUUUACAAAUGAAAAAAUGGCUAAUCAUAAUAUGGAUGGCGAUUUAUAAACAAUUAACUUAGGAAUAUUUGUAAAAGACACUACUUCAAUUUCAAGUUCAAUUCUUAUCUGAAUGUCUAGAUUAGGUUGUAGAAAUCAAGACAAAAUUGCGAAUAACCGCUGACAAA